UCGCGUUAAGGAUUGAAGUGGAAAUCCUUUUGAAAGCUGAGCUUGCGAAGCUCAAAAGAUUGAAGCAAAAAGCCUGACCCGCA
rnacentral:sRNA from 10 species